GGGCGUGUGGUCUAGUGGUAUGAUUCUCGCUUUGGGCAUUAUCCGAGAAAUUGGAUUGCAAAUGUGCGAGAGGCCCUGGGUUCAAUUCCCAGUAUGCCCC
rfam:Zygosaccharomyces bailii CLIB 213 genomic, scaffold04